UCUAAAGGUAAGUGCAAGCCCCUUUGGCUUGUUUAUGCAUAAUCACCACUGUCUCCAACUUUUUCUCACAAAAUCUUUGUUUUAUUUUUUUGCCUUCUGCGACCAGAUCUAUGCUCUUUGUCUUCUUCCCAAGAUCUGGAGAUCUAAUCAAAGGCAAGUGGAGAUCUAAAUCUUGAGAGGCUAAAUAAAAUAAAAGAACCAGCUUUUUUAAGGAAUUACAUCCUUCUGCUUUGGUGAUUCUCUUUUUCUUCAAGGAUAUGGAGAUUUAAUCAAAUGCCAGUGGAGAUGAAAGCUUAAAUAAAAAAGCUACUAUAAACUAGUUACUUUUAGGAAUCAGUGCAUUACUGAUGUGGUAUUUCUCUUUUUCUAUUAAGGAUAUGGUGAUUUAAUCAAAUACAAGUGGAGAUAUCAAUCUGGAAUGCUUAAAUAAAAACAAGCCACUAUAAGGACCUACACCUGAAGAUGUGUUACAGUUCAAGAGCAAUUUCUACCAUGACUCCCAAUGAAGAAAGAGAUAAAUUGAUGUUUCCUCCACAUUACCGCAAAAAACACAAUUCCUUGGGGCUUGCGGUUCUAGUACAUGACGAAUCGCAAGAUUAGACCGUGUAGGAACACAAUCAAUUAAAAGGGCCCAAGAAAAUGCUACCUCCUUUGGAGGUGCCGGACUCUUCCAAAGAGAAACAAAAACACUCUCAAGCUGGGUGCUUUAAUCAGCCGCCGAGGAAUGAUCAUCAGUUAGAGAACCAGCUUGUGGACAUCUUGGUGUUACUCCAAUUACUUUCUUAUAGGCUGGAAUUUUAUGUGAAUUUCAAGCUGUGUAUUUUAUUUAUGAAUUUUAUGUGAAUUUCAAGCUCGUGGACAUUUUUUUUACCAAACUCAACUGUCUUCACUCUCGAUUUGUUUUUCUACCAUAA